GAUGAACGCUGGCGGCGUGCCUAAUACAUGCAAGUCGAGCGAAUGGAUUAAGAGCUUGCUCUUAUGAAGUUAGCGGCGGACGGGUGAGUAACACGUGGGUAACCUGCCCCUCACUUCGGGAUAACUCCGGGAAACCGGGGCUAAUACCGGAUAUGACCUCCUUGGGCAUCCUUGGAGGUGGAAAGUUUUUCGGUGAGGGAUGGGCCCGCGGCCUAUCAGCUUGUUGGUGAGGUAGUGGCCCACCAAGGCGACGACGGGUAGCCGGCCUGAGAGGGCGACCGGCCACACUGGGACUGAGACACGGCCCAGACUCCUACGGGUGGCAGCAGUGGGGAAUAUUGCGCAAUGGGCGAAAGCCUGACGCAGCAACGCCGCGUGCGGGAUGAAGGCCUUCGGGUUGUAAACCGCUUUCAGCAGGGAAGAAGCGAAAGUGACGGUACCUGCAGAAGAAGCACCGGCUAACUACGUGUCAGCAGCCGCCGUAA
rnacentral:rRNA from 1 species